UAUCUCUGUAGAGUCUGCAUAUCAAUAAGCGGAGGAAAAGAAACUAACUAGGAUUCCCUCAGUAACGGCGAGUGAAGCGGGAAGAGCUCAAAUUUGAAAUCUUCAAGGUUUUGACCUUGACGAAUUGUAGUUUAAAGAAGUGUUUUCUGUUGGAGUUUUGGUAAAAGUUCUUUGGAAUAGGACAUCAUAGAGGGUGAGAAUCCCGUAUUUGACCAUUUCUUCCAGCUGUGUGAUACACUUUCAAAGAGUCGGAUUGUUUGGGAAUGCAGUCCAAAAUGGGUGGUAAAUUUCAUCUAAAGCUAAAUAUUGGCGAGAGACCGAUAGCGAACAAGCACCGUGAGGGAAAGAUGAAAAGAACUUUGAAAAGAGAGUUAAACAGUACGUGAAAUUGUCAAAAGGGAAGCGUUUGACACCAGUGUUGUUUUCCUCGAAAAUCAAUUAAAAAUGGCCGGAUUUUGUGUUGUAUUGACUUUAUCAGCUUUCUGCACUUUUUUCUUGUCUUUUUUAAUGCACUUUUCGUUUAACAAGUCAACAUCAAUUUCUUUUGUUGUAAAAGAGUCAUUGGAAGGUGGCUUUCACUUCGGUGAAAGUGUUUAUAGCCUUUGGCUUCUGCAAUCGGAGAGAUUGAGGUCUGCAGCGUAGAUCCUUCGGGGUUAGAUACAUUUGUGCUAAGUUAUAGUUUUUCAUAGACAACAUGUUGACUAUGAUUAAUCAUGUAGCUUACUCGCUUAUGCUAUUUUACCUACGCUUAGGAUGUUGAAUCUGUGCGAGACUAC
rnacentral:rRNA from 1 species